AUUGAACGCUGGCGGCAUGCCUUACACAUGCAAGUCGAACGGCAACAGGUCUUCGGAUGCUGACGAGUGGCGAACGGGUGAGUAAUACAUCGGAACGUGCCCAAUCGUGGGGGAUAACGCAGCGAAAGCUGUGCUAAUACCGCAUAAGAUCUACGGAUGAAANCGGGGGAUCGCAAGACCUCGCGCGAGUGGAGCGGCCGAUGGCAGAUUAGGUAGUUGGUGAGGUAAAGGCUCACCAAGCCUGCGAUCUGUAGCUGGUCUGAGAGGACGACCAGCCACACUGGAACUGAGACACGGUCCAGACUCCCACGGGAGGCAGCAGUGGGGAAUUUUGGACAAUGGGCGCAAGCCUGAUCCAGCAAUGCCGCGUGCAGGAUGAAGGCCUUCGGGUUGUAAACUGCUUUUGUACGGAACGAAAAGGUCUCUUCUAAUAAAGGGGGCCCAUGACGGUACCGUAAGAAUAAGCACCGGCUAACUACGUG
rnacentral:rRNA from 1 species